rnacentral:rRNA from 1 species
GACGAACGCUGGCGGCGUGCCUAAUACAUGCAAGUUGAACGCUUCUUUCUUAUCGAACUUCGGUUCACCAAGAAAGAGGAGUAGCGAACGGGUGAGUAACACGUGGGUAACCUGCCCAUCAGCGGGGGAUAACACUUGGAAACAGGUGCUAAUACCGCAUAGUGCUUUUUCUCACAUGAGAGAAAGCUGAAAGGCGCUUUUGCGUCACUGAUGGAUGGACCCGCGGUGCAUUAGCUAGUUGGUAGGGUAACGGCCUACCAAGGCAACGAUGCAUAGCCGACCUGAGAGGGUGAUCGGCCACACUGGGACUGAGACACGGCCCAGACUCCUACGGGAGGCAGCAGUAGGGAAUCUUCGGCAAUGGACGAAAGUCUGACCGAGCAACGCCGCGUGAGUGAAGAAGGUUUUCGGAUCGUAAAACUCUGUUGUUAGAGAAGAACAAGGAUGAGAAGAGAAUGUUCAU